rnacentral:rRNA from 1 species
UACAGAGGCCUCGAGCGUUAAUCGGAAUCACUGGGCUUAAAGGGUGCGUAGGCGGCGCUGCAAGUGCCUUGUGAAAUCCCAUGGCUUAACCAUGGAACUGCUCGGUAGACUGCAGCGCUUGAGGUUGGUAGGGGCUGCCGGAACUCUAGGUGGAGCGGUGAAAUGCGUAGAUAUCUAGAGGAACGCCCAAGGCGAAGGCAGGCAGCUGGGCCAAUUCUGACGCUGAGGCACGAAAGCGUGGGGAUCAAACAGG